rnacentral:lncRNA from 1 species
UGGGCCUCAUCGCUGCACUGGCUUCAGUCUUCUACUAAGAGAUGAUGAAAUGGUAAAUAGAACAACAGAUUGGAUCUAAACCCGAACUCUGCAACUGCCACCCCAGCUGGAAAUGAAGACAUUCUUGGGGUUGGAUGUCUAGACAGAAGAGAUUUCAGUGCUCAGCUUGACCAAGUUCUGCUCAGUUAUGGCAACAUGAGAGAGAUUGAGUUACAAGCAAGAACGGAUGAAAUCCAGGGCGUUCCCUGCAAGCCAGAAUUUCCUGUACAAACACUAUUGACCAUAUUUUUGGAGGAGUGUGUAAAAACUGUUGAUGUCCACAGUAAUUAUAGUGUGUCAGAAAAAUUAACAUUUGCAAUUCCC